AUGAUGAAGUAUGAGGCUAUGACUGACUCUCACUUCGAGAAUCUAUACAAGUACAGAGAGACAUGGGUACCCUGCUACUUCAAGCACCAAUUCUUCUCUUUCUUGCAGUCAACUCAACGCAGCGAGGGGUUCAAUGCUGUCCUUAAGCGAUAUGUGAACCCACACAAGUCCAUUUUGAACUUUGUGAAGCAAUAUCAGAAAAUCCAAACACACAUACUAGUCCGGGAGGGUUCAAAAGACUAUAGGACAGCAGAUUUACAGACUGAAAUGUGGUCAUCUUACCCAGUAGAGAAGCAGGAGUACGGAUCAUAUACUAGGGACUUGUACGAGAAGUUUUGUGAUGAGUUUCAGUUGACUACAAGGUACAAUGUGCGACCACAUGGUGAAAACUUGUAUGAGGUUUACCCCAAUCAAGAGUGGGUUGCCAAAUAUGGUUCUAGGGGCUAUUUUGUCACGGUCGAAGCUAGUGCUGGAGACUACAGGUGUGACUGCUACAAGAUUGAGAGGGACGGCAUGCUUUGCUGCCAUAUCUUGAAAGUUUUCAACCAACUUGGUGUUGAUGAAAUCCCAGCGCAGUACAUACUUAGAAGAUGGACAUCUAUGGCAAUUCCCAACGCACCCCCUGCUGUCGAAGACCAACCUGAUGAGAUGCCACCACAGUCGAAGAAGGAACUCAGGCAUGCAAAUUUGAUGAUGGAUUUUGGUAGUCUUGCCCGGGUUGCUAGUGCAUCAGAUGCUGCAACGAAUAUUGUAAAAAAACAUAUGCGUGGUGCGCGUCAUGAAAUCAAAAAUCUCAACAUGUCAAAGAAGAAGAAAACGGCAGCACCCUCUGGUGGUUCUGCGCCACCAUCAGCUGGUGGUUCUGCGCCACAACUGAGUAACUCUCAGGCAACUGGUGGCCCUGCGGUGCGUCCUGAAGGUCCUGCGGUGCAUCCUGGAUCUAGACAACAGCAACAUACUUCUGCGCCACUGCUGAGUAACACUCAGGCAACUAUUGACCCGGCGGUGCGUCCUGGCGAACUUGCACAAACCUCUUCUGGACCUAGGCAGCAACGAUCUAGUUCUGCACCGCGGAGAAAAAAGGCACCAAAACUAGCUGGCAACUCUAUGAGUGAGGAUGGACACCAACAAACAGCAUUCAGGGCUGCAGUGAUGCACAGUGGGACUGUACCACUACCCAGGAGCCCUCCUGCACAAAGCUGCUGGCCUGUACAACAACUGUCGGGAUAUGUGCCACUAAACAGUGGAGCAGCACCGCACCUUUCAAGGGGCUCCACAAUGACAAGGCCUGUGCAAGCGCUAAGAGGAGCUGUGCCACAACUUUUGAUGCAUACGGCACUAGUAAGAGGUCCUGCACGACCUCCUAUGGGUCCUAGACCAGCAAUUUGGCCUGCACCACAAACUAGGGGGGCUAUACAACCACCGCGGGGGCCUGCCGCGGCAAACACAACCUAUGUGGCUAUUCCUGGACUGGCACCAUUGCCUGCAUCAUCAGCAACAGUGGAUGGCAGGUAUGGACAGCACCCAGGUUCUUCAACUACACAAGAAGAAAAUGCCAAUGCAAUUCCAUCUCCUAUUGUGCAAGCUCCUGGUGGACAUGCGCACCAGCCGCUCACUACGGCAUCUCUACAUGAACCUGUUGCGACCGCACAAGCUACUACGAUGGUUGAACCACAGUUUGGAAGACCUAGUACCACACUUGGCCCUAUAAUUCCUAGAGACCCUCCAAAAUCAACAACAAAAGGGAGGGCAAAGUCAAAAAGAAUUCAAUCAACACUUGAGCUGCAUCCGAAGAGAAAGAACAAGUGCAGCUAUUGUGGUUCUGUUAACCACAAUGGUGGAAGCUGCCCGACCAGAUUGGUGUAA
rnacentral:rRNA from 1 species